GGUUGGGUGGCCGAGCGGUCUAAGGCGCUAGUUUAAGGUGCUAGUCUCUGCGGAGGCGCGGGUUCGAAUCCCGCCCCAGCCA
rfam:Vavraia culicis subsp. floridensis unplaced genomic scaffold supercont1.15, whole genome shotgun sequence.